rnacentral:rRNA from 1 species
AUAAGCGCACACGGUGGAUGCCUUGGCGGUCAGAGGCGAUGAAGGACGUGGCAGCCUGCGAAAAGUAUCGGGGAGCUGGCAACAAGCUUUGAUCCGGUAAUGUCCGAAUGGGGAAACCCACCCGCUUGCGGGUAUCCUGCAGUGAAUACAUAGCUGCUGGAAGCGAACCUGGUGAACUGAAAUAUCUAAGUAACCAGAGGAAAAGAAAUCAACCGAGAUUCCCUGAGUAGCGACGAGCGAACGGGGACUAGCCCUUAAGCUGGAAUGGUUCUAGAAAAACAGCCUGGAACGGCUGGCCAUAGAAGGUGAUAGCCCUGUAUUUAAAAGGGCCACUCCAGUGAAGACGAGUAGGGCGGGGCACGUGAAACCCUGUCUGAACAUGGGGGGACCAUCCUCCAAGGCUAAAUACUACUGACCGACCGAUAGUGAACCAGUACCGUGAGGGAAAGGCGAAAAGAACCCCGGAGAGGGGAGUGAAAUAGAUCCUGAAACCGUGUGCGUACAAGCAGUAGGAGCUCGAAAGAGUGACUGCGUACCUUUUGUAUAAUGGGUCAGCGACUUACUGUUCGUGGCAAGCUUAACCGUAUAGGGGAGGCGAAGGGAAACCGAGUCUGAUAAGGGCGCAUAGUCGCGGGCAGUAGACCCGAAACCGGGUGAUCUAGUCAUGGCCAGGGUGAAGGUGCCGUAACAGGUACUGGAGGCCCGAACCCACGUCUGUUGCAAAAGACGGGGAUGAGCUGUGAUUAGGAGUGAAAAGCUAAUCGAACCCGGAGAUAGCUGGUUCUCCUCGAAAGCUAUUUAGGUAGCGCCUCAUAUGUAUCCUCUCGGGGGUAGAGCACUGUUAUGGCUAGGGGGUCAUCGCGACUUACCAAACCAUUGCAAACUCCGAAUACCGAGACGGACUGUAUGGGAGACACACGGCGGGUGCUAACGUCCGUCGUGAAAAGGGAAACAACCCAGACCCACAGCUAAGGUCCCAAAUUCACUGCUAAGUGGAAAACCAUGUGGAAAGGCACAGACAGCCAGGAGGUUGGCUUAGAAGCAGCCACCCUUUAAAGAAAGCGUAAUAGCUCACUGGUCGAGUCGGUCUGCGGGGAAGAUUUAACGGGGCUAAGCAGUGAACCGAAGCUUGGGGUGUGCAUAUUUAUAUGUACGCGGUAGAGGAGCGUUCCGUAAGCCGUUGAAGGUGGAUUGAGAAGUCUGCUGGAGGUAUCGGAAGUGCGAAUGCUGACAUGAGUAACGAUAAUGCGGGUGAAAAACCCGCACGCCGAAAGCCCAAGGUUUCCUUGCGCAACGUUAAUCGGCGCAGGGUGAGUCGGCCCCUAAGGCGAGGACGAAAGUCGUAGUCGAUGGGAAGCAGGUUAAUAUUCCUGCACCUCGCGUAAGUGCGAUGGAGGGACGGAGAAGGUUAGGUGUACCCGGCGUUGGUUGUCCGGGGGAAAGGCGGUAGGUUUGGAUCUUUGGCAAAUCCGGGAUCCUUUAAGACCGAGCACCGAGACGAGCCUUUAAGGCGAAGUCACUGAUACCACGCUUCCAGGAAAAGCUCCUAAGCUUCAGCUUACGCAGACCGUACCGUAAACCGACACAGGUGGGUAGGAUGAGAAUUCUCAGGCGCUUGAGAGAACUCGGGUGAAGGAACUAGGCAACAUGGCACCGUAACUUCGGGAGAAGGUGCGCCCUUUUUGGUGGCUCAUGCGAGCUAUAGCUGAAGAGGGCCGCAGUAACCAGGCCGCUGCGACUGUUUAUCAAAAACACAGCACUCUGCAAACACGAAAGUGGACGUAUAGGGUGUGACGCCUGCCCGGUGCUGGAAGGUUAAUUGAUGGGGUCAGCCGCAAGGCGAAGCUCUUGAUCGAAGCCCCAGUAAACGGCGGCCGUAACUAUAACGGUCCUAAGGUAGCGAAAUUCCUUGUCGGGUAAGUUCCGACCUGCACGAAUGGCGUAACGACAGCGGCGCUGUCUCCACCCGAGACUCAGUGAAAUUGAAAUCGCUGUGAAGAUGCAGCGUUCCCGUGGCAAGACGGAAAGACCCCGUGAACCUUUACUAUAGCUUUACACUGAACGUUGAGUUCGUCUGUGUAGGAUAGGUGGGAGGCUAUGAAACUGUGGCGCUAGCUGCAGUGGAGCCAUCCUUGAAAUACCACCCUGUCGUGCUUGACGUUCUAACCUGGGCCCAUUAUCUGGGUCGGGGACCGUGUAUGGUGGGUAGUUUGACUGGGGCGGUCUCCUCCUAAAGAGUAACGGAGGAGCUCGAAGGUACGCUCAGCGCGGUCGGACAUCGCGCACUGUGUGCAAAGGCAUAAGCGUGCUUGACUGCAAGAUCGACGGAUCAAGCAGGUAGGAAACUAGGACUUAGUGAUCCGGUGGUUCUGUAUGGAAGGGCCAUCGCUCAACGGAUAAAAGGUACUCCGGGGAUAACAGGCUGAUACCGCCCAAGAGUUCAUAUCGACGGCGGUGUUUGGCACCUCGAUGUCGGCUCAUCACAUCCUGGGGCUGUAGUCGGUCCCAAGGGUAUGGCUGUUCGCCAUUUAAAGUGGUACGCGAGCUGGGUUCAGAACGUCGUGAGACAGUUCGGUCCCUAUCUGCCAUGGGCGUUGGAGAUUUGAGAGGGGCUGCUCCUAGUACGAGAGGACCGGAGUGGACGAACCUCUGGUGUUCCGGUUGUCACGCCAGUGGCAUUGCCGGGUAGCUAUGUUCGGAAGCGAUAACCGCUGAAAGCAUCUAAGCGGGAAGCGCGCCUCAAGAUGAGAUCUCCCGGGGCACAAGCCCCCUGAAGGAACCAUAUAGACUAUGUGGUUGAUAGGUCAGGUGUGUAAGUACAGCAAUGUAUUGAGCUAACUGAUACUAAUGAUCCGUGUGGCUUGACC